rnacentral:tRNA from 1 species
GCCGGGAUAGCCUAAUCUGGUAUGGCGCUAGAUUUAGGUUCUAGUGAGGCACCCCAGUCUCAUGCGGGUUCGAAUCCCGCUCCCGGCG